GACGAACGCUGGCGGCGUGCCUAAUACAUGCAAGUCGAGCGGACAGAAGGGAGCUUGCUCCCGGAAGUUAGCGGCGGACGGGUGAGUAACACGUGGGCAACCUACCCUGUAGAUCGGGAUAACAUCGAGAAAUCGGUGCUAAUACCGGAUAAUCAUUUGAAGUGCAUGCUUCGAAUGUAAAAGAUGGCUCCGGCUAUCACUACGGGAUGGGCCCGCGGCGCAUUAGCUGGUUGGUAAGGUAAUGGCUUACCAAGGCAACGAUGCGUAGCCGACAGGAGAGGGUGAUCGUGCACACUGGGACUGAGACACGGCCCAGACUCCUACGUGAGGCAGCAGUAGGGAAUCUUCCGCAAUGGACGAAAGUCUGACGGAGCGACGCCGCGUGAGUGAUGAAGGUUUUCGGAUCGUAAAGCUCUGUUGUUAGGGAAGAACAAGUGCCGUUUGAAUAAGGCGGCACCUUGACGGUACCUAACCAGAAAGCCACGGCUAACUACGUGCCAGCCGCCGCAGUAACAC
rnacentral:rRNA from 1 species